AUGCCCAACGGAAGCCUGGAUAAACAUCUAUAUAGCAGUAGGGAGGAUCAGCCUACUCUGAAUUGGACUUUGAGGUUUCAUACCAUCAAGGAUGUCGCGUCCGGCUUGCUUUAUCUGCAUGAGAGGUGGGAGAAAGUCGUCAUCCACAGAGACAUCAAGGCCAGCAACGUGCUCCUCGACAAAGACAUGAACGCCCAGCUUGGUGACUUUGGGCUAGCAAGGUUGUACGACCAUGGGGCAGACUCACAAACCACGCACGUAGUCGGCACCAUGGGUUACUUGGCUCCGGAGCUGAUACGCACGGGAAGGGCGUCCCCUCUGACCAACAUGUUCGGCUUUGGCAUAUUUCUUCUUGAGGUUGCAUGCGGACAUAAACCCAUCAAGGAGAAUGCGCAAGGCGGACAGAUAGCGCUCGUCGACUGGGUGCUGGAGCAUUGGCGUGAUGGUACGCUCAUGGAGACGGUGGACGCGAGGCUCCACCGCGAGUUCGACAUCGACCGGGCGGGGUUGGUGCUCACCCUAGGGCUCAUGUGCUCACACCCUCUCGCUAGCGCGAGGCCUGGCAUUGUACAAGUCAUGCGCUAUCUCACCGGUGUUACGCCCCUCCCUGAGCUCUCACCAACAGACGUGUUCGCCUUGAUGCAAAACCAAGGGUUUGACGCAUCCGCCAUGUCGUAUCCUGAUUUGACGUCAAGCUUUGGCACAAUUUCUAGCCUCUCAGGAGGAAGAUAA
rnacentral:rRNA from 1 species